rnacentral:rRNA from 1 species
AGUGAACGCUGGCGGUAGGCCUAACACAUGCAAGUCGAACGGCAGCACAGGAGAGCUUGCUCUCUGGGUGGCGAGUGGCGGACGGGUGAGGAAUACAUCGGAAUCUACUCUGUCGUGGGGGAUAACGUAGGGAAACUUACGCUAAUACCGCAUACGACCUACGGGUGAAAGCAGGGGAUCUUCGGACCUUGCGCGAUUGAAUUAGCUGAUGUCGGAUUAGCUAGUUGGCGGGGUAAAGGCCCACCAAGGCGACGCUCCGUAGCUGGUCUGAGAGGAUGAUCAGCCACACUGGAACUGAGACACGGUCCAGACUCCUACGGGAGGCAGCAGUGGGGAAUAUUGGACAAUGGGCGCAAGCCUGAUCCAGCCAUACCGCGUGGGUGAAGAAGGCCUUCGGGUUGUAAGCCCUUUUGUUGGGAAAGAAAUCCAGCCGGCUAAUACCCGGUUGGGAUGACGGUACCCAAAGAAUAAGCACCGGCUAACUUCGUGCCAGCAGCCGCCGUAA